AUACACAUUCUUAGGCAAACUGAGAGGGCUGGAAAAAGCAGACAGACAGUGCAGUCUCAGACCCCUUUGCUACACAUCUCAAGGACCUUCUCAGACCAAAAUUUGCCUUCCUUCAUUAGGAGUUGGACUCAAUCACCCUUCCAACUCAGCAUAUUUUGUGGUUCUAUGAUUAAAAGGGGUUAUUUGAAAGGCAGUGAGCACAGGGUGGCUCAGCUGACAGGACCAAGUGAAUGGGAAUGGGAUGUUUUUUGUUGCUGUCCAGAGGUGGCUGGCUGGCUCUGAGUCACUGCAUGCAGCUUUACCUGCAGCCACUGAAACACUCUGAGUCACAAGGAGAGGCAGGGCAGCUGACAGUCAGAGACCAUAAACCAAAUCUUCAGCAGGUAUAAACUGGCACAGGCUUUCUGACUUCAAAGGAGCUGCAUCAGUUUGAACCAACAAAGAUUCUGUUGCCAUAUGGCCCUAAUUAUGUUAAUGUGAGGCCCAAAGGAUGCAGUGCAAUAAUAAAAAGGAAAUACUGUGUGAUCCAUCAUCACUUUGGCACUCAAGGCAGGACUUUCAAAGGUAUUUAGGCACCAAAAGCAGCAGACAGGUGCGUCAAAGAUUUUCUGUGUUCCAUUUCCCCACGACAAAAAUUUAUUUCCUUUCUGUCCCAAACCAGGCUUGAGAGUCCCUGAAAAGAGGGUAGAAACAUUUUAUUUUUAUCACCAUGGAAAUAAGAGGGGUCUUUCUAAAGUGGACCUCUAACUGCUUUGUUUCUAGACCUCUCUGAGUGCUUGGCAGGUCCCAGUGGUGGCAGGGCCUGCAGACACUCCGAGGGUCCAGGUGAGGCGGCUCCCAGGCAUCGCUGGAGCAAAACUUUGGCACCAGGUAAGGAUCUCCACAAGAAGAAUGACUCCAGCCAGGCUCACUCGCCCCCAGGGAGUGGCUAAGCCACACAGCCCCAUCAGCACAGCUCCUUGCAGUGUUAUCCCAGCAUAUGGGGCUGCAGGAGGAUAUGGGGAGCACAAGUGCCACUUACUCCUGUCCUCGGUGGAUGGAAGCCUACUGCACCCUGAGCUCCCAUCGGUAUGGAAACCUUC